rnacentral:lncRNA from 1 species
CGAGUGCUCCUUGGUUCUAUGUAUCAGUUACUAAUGUUGACAAAGAAUCUUUCCAGAAACCAAAAAGGGACGCAGAGGAAUCACUGAAGCCAGCUGGUAAUGUAGGCACAUUGUUCAGAAACUGUGGCCAAGUUCCACAAGAGAAAAAGUAAGAGGGGGAGGGAUUCCCAUACACACCCCCGCCCCCCACCCCCUGCCCCACCAUGCUGAUGAAAAGACAGAAAACGAAGCCUGGAGAGCCAGAGAUGUGUGUGCAGCGAGCCCCGGAGGGCCUGCUUUGGGCAGGAAGCAGCCUGCUCUAACAGCAGCCUCCUGCUUAGCGGAGAGUGGGAUGAGCACGUGCAUGGCUGACAGGGAAGAGUGAAUCCAGAGCAGAAGUCAAGGGCAAGACUCGUGGGGGAGGAAGAAAGGGGCAGAAACCAGCUCCCAGCAAUAAAGGUCGGGUUAUUUUGUUCUUUUGUGACAUGCCCUACAUCCACUCCCUCCCCAAAGUGACAGCAAUUCGGGAGAUGACAUUCUUCAACUGCAUUUUAACUGAGUUUCUGCUCUUGCCAACCAAGUAAGUGGCCUAAUAUAUAAAUCCUCGAUUUGAAUUGGAGCCAGCUAGAAAAUUAAAUUUUAAAAAGGCAUUUUACAUGGCUUAUUUACAAUUAUACUUCUUCAAGAAGUGAUUGUUAUAUAUUUAUGUCUAUUUAUCUUUCCCAAACACCCUCCCCUCCACCCUCAAUCCCCACCCAAAGAAGGUAAUUUUUUUAAAAAAUGAAACGAAAGAGAACACCAGAGAUAUAGAAGAAUGGUGUGGAGUUUCAUUUGCUCUUCCUAAAACGCAGCUGCCCUGUGGUGGGUUUGCCUCUGCUCUGAAGGCCAAGAGGCUCCAAGGUCAUGUGUAGGGACAGGCUCCACGGCAGGACCACGGCAGAUCACAGUUCAUCACGGGUUCUGGAGACUGUGGCUAAGACAAGAUGUGGGGUAGGAGACGGGGAGAGAGCAGCAGGACAGACGUCUGUCUUGUGAAAACAGAAAGCCAGUGCUGACGAAGGAAGUCCCCAAGCUCACUCCCUCAGUCCCAGCGGCUGAUCCAGUGAAGGCGUUUGUGCGU